AGCAGUUUUUCUCUCUCAGCGAGAGAGAGAUUGAGACAAAUCAUAGCACAAAGAGAGAGAGAAAGUAAGUCGCAUGGUACAAGUACGGAGAAUUUAGCACAAUAUUCUCAUCUUUUGACAGUUUCUCGCGAAUCAUGGCGGAUGUUAUAAAUACGGUGAUCAAAUAUGAUGGUGAAAACGCGUGGUUUAGUGUCGAUUUCCGUGAGAAAAAAGUGUUUUUAGACCUGGAAAAAGCAGCUCGAGAAUAACUCCGGAAAACUGGAGGUGUUUGAUGAAACUGACGCCGUCAAUUUUCUCAGCAUUUGGCAGGAAAUAUAUUUAUUUCAAAUGCUGCUCCCUUGCCAGAUUGAGAUUAACCAAGGCCAUCCCUUGCUCCACAAAGUGGCAGUAAAUUGGAAGUCACUGUGGAGGUGGCUCCACCAGCUCUUAUGAAAUCGCCAGAUCUUUUCUACAAGUUCAUCGUAAAGAAUGGUCCCCAGAAAUAUACGAGUUGUUGAAUAACGCUUCUCCGUUCAACUGGAAGUAGCCGUGAAACUAAGCGACCAUCUUUGAAGCAAGU